rnacentral:lncRNA from 1 species
CAAUAAUGCUUCCUAAUAAUAUCAAACUGAUGAGCAAAGAAAUAGCAUCCACAUUCUCAACUGAUGAUGUGGCAAAGAUCAAGAAAUUCUGCAAAACUCAAACCAAAGGUAAUGAGAAAGUUCUCAACAAUGGGGCAUGCAUUAAAGGAAACAUCAAUAUCUUAUUAUUAGUGCUGGCAUGAUGUGCAAUCGAGUCUAAUCCUGCGCUGCUCAUUCGGGCGAGACACCCACUGAUUUCACGAAUGGGCUUCACUUUAUCGCUG